rnacentral:lncRNA from 1 species
UCACCAAAUCUGGUCCAAAUCUCAUUGUCAUUUCAUGCAGCAUCUUAAAUACAAAACAUUUGUUUACUUCAGGUGCAUAUAUCAAAAUUAACACUUUCAGCAAAUUAAUAAAAUGUUUUUUUGAUUUUAGUUAAUUGAAAUAAAUGAAAAUGAUAAAUAUUGCCUUGGAAACUAGCUGAAAAUUAAAUGUUUCAAUUAUUUUAUUUAAAGUAAUUUUUUUUAUGAUUUUAGUUUAACAACCCUGUCAUUUUCACAAUGUUGAAACAGCGUACUAUAAUCUGAAGCUGUGACUUAUAUGGCUGUAUAUACUGAGCAGCUGCAAUUAUUUACCUCAAGUUUUCAAAACAAUUUCAUACGCUCAUUUGCAUACACAAGUCUUAAAGGUCCAGUAACAACAACAGCCUGUUUAAUUCUAACAGUCAAAGGUUACAAAAACAGCUACAAUAGUCUAGAUAUACAGCAAACUUCAGAGGUUAACUUGUUCUGAUUAACUACCUCUAAAACUAGUUUCAAGUGUUUCAGCUAUAAAACUUACAGUGUGCCUUCUUCUGUGUGUGACGGGCUGACAAACACAGACGCUGCCAUCAGAGAACUUACAAGAGACAUGGACAAACAGAGAUGGAAGACAAACAAUGAAAGAUGGCAGAAUGUUUUUCCUCGGAGACAUCCCUGUGGAUGCAUUGGCACGUCCAUGUGUUUCGUCAUUCAUGGGUCAGAAUGUGUCUAUUGUACUGGUGUUAUUAAAAAUGAACACACUUACAAUGAUAUCCUCAGCAUUUAGAAAUAAACAAAAGGACUGGAUCUUAAUUUCAAUGGGUCUUAUUCUGUCAUGCAGAAGAUAAAAAUAAAGAUCGGCACACAAACACCCCCCACGUGCCAACAGAGACCCUCAGUGAGAUUCUGUCUAUCUAGUGUUGGAGACGUUUCCUUUAGUUACUAGUAAUGCAACAAUGGUCACAUUAGCACUGUUUACUACUGGAUGCAUCUCACAGUCUAUCAAGAAUACGUUGUGGUUAAAUUCAUCCAAAAAUUUUAUUAGAUUAUACAUAAAUUAAAUCUAAAAGUCUUAUUUUUAUUACCGCUGUCACAUUAUUUUCAUGAGAUUUUUAAAAUCUUGUAAAUGUAAUUAAGUUAAAAAAAAAAAGAAAAGAAAAAAGAACCAGUACAAAUAAAAAAAUAAUAAAAUAGCAAAAACUAACAUGAUGUAUACAUACUUUACAAUUUAAAUAAUAUAUUCUUGUUGCUUUUUGCAUGACAGUAAUGAGCAUGUUAAUGCGAAUUUGGUGGAAAAUAUUCUUUAAUUAUUGUCAUAAAAAUAAUGCAAAAAUAGUUCUGAUUCUAAAAUGAACGGGGCUACUAACAGCAGACGGACCCCCUCCCGGCAUACUCUCGCCAGAACUCCCGGGAGCAGAGCAAUAGGGGGAAAUGCGUACAGACGAAGCCUCGGCCAGGUCUGUACCAUAGCGUCCAGUCCCAGGGGAGCUGGAUGAACUAGAGAGAACCAAAGGGGACAUUGCGAUGUCUCUCGAGUCGCAAAGAGGUCCACUUGAGCUUUGCCAAAGAUUCUCCUAUAUCUGCUCCACCACCUUGGGGUGAAGCCUCCAUUCCCCGGGCCUCGGCCCCUGCCUUGACAGUAUGUCUGCUCCCACAUUCAAUUUCCCAGGAAUAUACACUGCUCUGAGUGAGAGGAGUUUGUCCUGGGACCAAGGAUCUGGUGCGCCAGCUUGUACAAGAGGCGCGAAAGCAGACCUCCCUGGUGGUUGAUGUAAGAGACCACCGAUGUGUUGUCGGUGCGCACCAACACAUGGUGACCUCUCAGGUCUGGGAGGAAAUAUUUUAGUGCCCGAUAGACGGCUAGCAUCUCUAGACAAUUGAUAUGCCAUGUUAGAUGGCGACCGCUCCACAGACCGCGGGCAGGG